AUUGAACGCUAGCGGGAUGCUUUACACAUGCAAGUCGAACGGGGGGAGGACGGGUGAGCAAUAUAUCGGAACGUGCGAAGCAGCGGGAGAUAACUAAGCGAAAGCGUGGCUAAUAGCGCAUACUAUUGGGGCGGCCGAUAGCGGAUUAGCUAGUUGGUUGGGUAAAGGCUCACCAAGGCCACGAUCCGUAGCUGGUUUGAGAGGACGACCAGCCACACUGGGACGGAGACACGGCCCAGACUCCUACGGGAGGCAGCAGUGGGGAAUUUUGGACAAUGGGGGAAACCCUGAUCCAGCCAUCCCGCGUGUAUGAGAAGGCCUUCGGGUUGUAAAGUACUUUUGGCAGAGAAGCGGUAUCUACAGAAUAAGCACCGGCUAACUACGUGCCAGCAGCCGCGGUAAUUC
rnacentral:rRNA from 1 species